rnacentral:rRNA from 1 species
GAUGAACGCUGGCGGCGUGCCUAAUACAUGCAAGUCGAGCGAACGGACGAGAAGCUUGCUUCUCUGAUGUUAGCGGCGGACGGGUGAGUAACACGUGGAUAACCUACCUAUAAGACUGGGAUAACUUCGGGAAACCGGAGCUAAUACCGGAUAAUAUUUUGAACCGCAUGGUUCAAAAGUGAAAGACGGUCUUGCUGUCACUUAUAGAUGGAUCCGCGCUGCAUUAGCUAGUUGGUAAGGUAACGGCUUACCAAGGCAACGAUGCAUAGCCGACCUGAGAGGGUGAUCGGCCACACUGGAACUGAGACACGGACCAGACUCCUACGGGAGGCAGCAGUAGGGAAUCUUCCGCAAUGGGCGAAAGCCUGACGGAGCAACGCCGCGUGAGUGAUGAAGGUCUUCGGAUCGUAAAACUCUGUUAUUAGGGAAGAACAUAUGUGUAAGUAACUGUGCACAUCUUGACGGUACCUAAUCAGAAAGCCGCGGCUAACUACGUG